rnacentral:sRNA from 1 species
UUCUCUCCAGUCUGUGGACUCUUAUUACUGUUUCUUUUGACUUUUUAUCCAGCUCUUAACUCUUAGCCUUUUUCUAGAUAAAGUCAAUCAGAGAGUAGCUCAUGGGUUUUCAGAACGUAUAUUUGGAGAUCAUUCUGGGGGUUAAGGUUUAUUUUCUUACUUAGAAUAAUCUCUUCUAGUCAGUAGAUCCUGCCUAUCUUGAAAUGGAGCUGGGUGGCACACACUGAGACAAAUACCUGUUGGGAUGACUGUACCCUGUUAACGCUAACCAUAGGUCAGGACAAGACCAACAGAUAAGAGCAAGAGCAUGAUACUCACUCCGUAAGAAAUUCUGUUCAUCUACAGAAAGCCUUAGGGUGAAACAAAGAUAAGAAUCCUGGUCUUCUAUGAUGAGUCACUGCCACUGACUGUGUCUGUUUUGUUUUCAGGGUGUAUGCCAUGUACAAUUCUGUAAAGGGAUCCUGCUCCGAGCCUGUUAGCUUCACCACCCACAGCUGUGCACCUGAGUGUCCUUUCCCCCCUAAGCUGGCACAUAGGAGCAAAAGUUCACUAACCCUGCAGUGGAAGGCACCAAUUGACAAUGGUUCAAAAAUCACCAACUACCUUUUAGAGUGGGAUGAGGUAAGCUUAUUUUCAUAUUCACCCAUCUAAAACAUCAUUUCAAAAA